AUUGAACGCUGGCGGCAGGCCUCACACAUGCAAGUCGAGCGGAGCGGCGGACGGGCGAGUAAUGCCUAGGAAUCUGCCUGGUAGUGGGGGAUAACGUCCGGAAACGGGCGCUAAUACCGCAUACUAUCCGUGGCGCAUAGGUCGAAUUAGCUAGUUGGUGGGUUAAAGGCCUACCAAGGUGAAGAUCAGUAACUGGUCUGUGAGGAUGAUCAGUCACACUGGAACUGAUACACGGUCCAGACUCCGACGGGAGGCAGCAGGGGUGAAUAUGGGACAAUGGGCGAAAGCCUGAUCCAGCCAUGCCGCGUGUGUGAAGAAGGUCUUCGGAUUGUAAAGCACUUUAAGUUGGGAGGCGUUACCAACAGAAGAAGCACCGGCUAACUCCGUGCCAGCCGCGGCGGUAAUAC
rnacentral:rRNA from 1 species